CUCACACCCAUCACACUCACAGCACUCUCUCACACAGCACUCUCUCACACAGCACUCUCUCACACCCAUCUCACACAGCACUCUCACACCACUCUCACACACAUCACACACACCGCACCCCUCACACACACACCGCACCCUCACACACACACAUACUGCACCCCUCACAUACACACAGAACCCCCCCAACACACUGCACCACACACAUACACAAU